rnacentral:rRNA from 1 species
CAAUACACAUUGCUGACGAGCGGCGGACGGGUGAGGAACACGUAGGAACCUACCCUCAAGCGGGGGAUAACUAAUGGAAACGUUAGCUAAUACCGCAUAAUCUCGGAAGAGAAAAGCUACCCGCAAGGGCGGCACUUGAGGAGGGGCCUGCGUCCGAUUAGCUAGUUGGUGAGGUAAUGGCUCACCAAGGCAAUGAUCGGUAACUGGUCUGAGAGGACGACCAGUCACACUGGGACUGAGACACGGCCCAGACUCCUACGGGAGGCAGCAGUGGGGAAUAUUGGACAAUGGGGGCAACCCUGAUCCAGCGAUGCCGCGUGAGUGAAGAAGGCCUUCGGGUCGUAAAGCUC